UGGUAGCUCAGCUGGAUAGAGCAUCUGCCUUCUAAGCAGAGGGUCGUGGGUUCGAGUCCCGCCCGG
rnacentral:tRNA from 1 species